rnacentral:tRNA from 1 species
UCCCUCUAGCUCAGUUGGUGGAGUGCAAGACUCUUAACCUUGUGGUAAUGAGUUCAAACCCCAUGGUGGGAG